AGCAUUCUUAAAGUUAUGAACAUUUGGAGUCUUGAAUUUCAGGUUAUCAAACUUAAGAUUAUGAUUGACAAGAACAGAAAUCGAGUUAUCUUUGCAGAGUCGGACCAUGAAUUCAUCGACACACUCUUCUCAUUCUUGACACUCCCGUUAGGUACAAUUCUAAGACUUCUUGAAAAAGAUAUGGUUCAAUUUGGAUCAAUUAGCCGUGUUUAUGCCAGUGUUUAUUCGCUUGAGCCGAGGUUCUUGCGUACAAGCUACUGCAAAUCCAUGUUGAUCAUGCCACGGAGUGCAUCAGAAGUUCAGUGUGAAAAGCUGAAGCUCAAUGUUGAUUAUUCGGAGAAUGCAGGGAAGUUAUUUAACUGUAAUAGCUAUAACCCUAGGUGUAAAAGCAUUUUCAGUAUCUCGCAGAAUACACGCUGCUUCUGCUGUGCUAGAUUGAGACAAUGUGAUAGAAAAAUUAAAGAGAAGGAAGAGAAGAGAAGUUGUGGGGGAGAAACCUGGUUGAAGUCUUUUUCAAGGGUGGGGCAGCAAGCUUUAUGAUUACAGAUGAUUUACAGGUAAUGCCAGCCUCAACUGCUAGUUUAACUGCUUUGUUCGGAAAGCUCGGAGUCAGUGACAAGAGUGAAAUUGAGGCAAAGACUGUAGAAGUUGGUACUCAGGAGGUGUUGCAACUGCUGAAGUUCUCAUUGCUCUCGAAGACGGCUUUGACAAAUAUGGUACUGAAUAGCGAGGGAAGUUGGUUGAAAGAUAUAUCAAAGUUUGAAGAUAACCAAACUGCAAAGUUAGACAAGAAGACCAUGUCUCAAAACACAAAUAGUAUGAACCUGAAGCUUAUAGUCAGCAAAAGUAAGAAGAAGGUUUUGUAUGCAGAAGCGGGGGUCAAGCUUGUAGACUUCCUUUUCAGUUUCCUUGUAUUCCCAUUAGGGGCUGUAGUAAAGCAUCUAGGCGGUAACUCAAGACUUGGAUGUAUAGAUAAUUUGUAUAAGGGUGCUGCUGAGUUGAGUUUGGAAAAUUAUAUCAAAUCAGAAGAAUGCAAAAAUAUGUUACUCUCUCCGAAACUGUUUCCACACUCUGGGUUUGACAGUCAUAUUCUCAAUGUGGAAGAGGAGUACCCGAAAUACAGAUAUGAUGAUGACUGGGGACAUAUAGAAUUAGUAAGGAACACUAAUAAAUCCGAGGGAUCAUCCAUAGUUUAUGAGGAAGAAGCAAGUGAUUUAGCCAUCAAUAUUUUGGAUCCAAAGUCUCCAACAGGAGAAACUAUAAAGGGUGAAGGAUACUUGAAAGGACCCGCAACGUUUAUGAUAAUGGAUAAUCUUAUAGUGACUCCUUUUUCCCCUACCACAAUCAUAACUCAGCUUAAUCAAAUGGAGGUGUCAACCAGUGAUGUCGGGGAACGCACUGUAACUGUUGGGAAGGACGAGGCCCUGAAUUUACUGAAAGCAUCUUUAAUCUCAACAACAGUUCUAAAUGAUGUUUUCAACAUUAGGGAACCUUAUCCUAAGGUUAUGCUUAAAGUGUGAAGUUUCAUACGGUAUGCGUGUGAUUAUAUCGUACUGUAUUAUGCUUAAAGUGUGAAGUUUCAACCUGACGGUAUGUGUGUGAUUAUAUCGUGUAAUGAAAUUAUAUUUCGCGUGUUAUUUCCAUGUAGUGUGCCAUUGUAAAUAACAUUGUUGUGAUUUAUCGUGAGAUGCAGACUAUUGUGUGCCUUUAGCAUGCACGCAGUACUGUGACUUAAUGCCUAGUUUUUA